UUACCAAAGCGACCUAUAAAGAAGACACUAUGAAGAAUCUGAUGUUGAUUGUCUUUAUGCUGUUCAUAACUUUAGAUAUUGUGUAUUCUACACAUGAUUGUGCUUGUACGGCGCACGUGGAUCCAGUUUGCUCCACAACUAAUGAGACUCACGGAAAUGAAGGUUGCCUUCAUUGCGCUCAUCAAGUUUUAGCUUGCCGUCGUGAAUGUCCAUGUGUGUGAGUAUCUGUGAAUGCAACAGUAGUAAGUGUUAAGAAUUGUAGUGAAAGAU